UGGGGAAUAUUGGACAAUGGGCGAAAGCCUGAUCCAGCCAUGCCGCGUGAGUGAUGAAGGCCUUAGGGUUGUAAAGCUCUUUUGUCAGGGAAGCGGUACCUGAAGAAUAAGCACCGGCUAACUUCGUGCCAGCAGCCGCGGUAAUACGAAGGGUGCUAGCGUUGUUCGGAAUCACUGGGCGUAAAGCGCGCGUAGGUGGCCUUUCAAGUCAGAGGUGAAAUCCCGGGGCUCAACCCAGGAACUGCCUUUGAAACUGUAAAGCUUGAGUGUUGGAGGGGAUAGCGGAAUUGCUAAUGUAGAGGUGAAAUUCGUAGAUAUUAGCAGGAACACCGGUGGCGAAGGCGGCUAUCUGGACAACAACUGACACUGAGGCGCGAAAGUGGGGGGAUCAAACAGGAUUAGAUACCCUAGUAGU
rnacentral:rRNA from 1 species